rnacentral:sRNA from 1 species
UUUUUGUUAUAUAGAGAGAUUGAUGCAUAAACUCUGUGUUUGUAUGACCGCAAUUCCAAGUUUAGCGAAAUUGUCCGUAGGACAACACACCAACGGCCAUGAGCUGUCUCGGUCCUGCAGGCUUAGUCUCCACUGCUGCCCACCUGACACUCACAGCUGUGCAUAGCGUGCUGGCCUCUGCCAGGAACUCUAGUGAAUGGUUCUUGAGUUCUUGCUCUGGAGUGAUUUUUAAAACAAUGAUCAGAUAAUUCUGGAGGGAGUAGUAUAGAUUUUGAAUUUUCCUCAAUUGCUCUAUAAAAAUGGAAACAGCAACUAGGGAGCAAAACCAAAAACCCCUGGACACAGUUGAUAAUAAAAGGUGAUGCGCUAUCCUCACAAACCCCAAAGUAUGAAUGGAUGGAGACAAAAAGCCUCAGGAUCUGGUUGUGUUGGCAGCUGCUCGGGGGAAGCUCAAGGCGAUGGACAGACCUGAAAACAAGAGUCCCAGGCACUCCUAGGAAGGUGCAGGGGGACAUGGUGAAGAUGGCAGCUGACACUGGAGGGGGCCUGUGCAUCCCAAUGUGAGUGAUGCUGGAAUUCCAAGGGGCUGGAACACUCCAGGCCCUGUGGGUUCACCAAGGCAUCAGCCAAGCUCUCCUCUAGCUCCAGCCCCAGUGCUGGGAGAAGCUGCUGCAAGGAGACUCUGAAUUGCCCAGAACAGCCGCAGGAGUUGCAAUGGAAAGAGGAGUUCAGAUACAUGUGGGGAGCAAAGCAAAGGUCUUUGCAAUCGGCCUUGUUUUUUAAUGUUUCAUGAAAACAACUGACUUGGGAGCUCUGGAAAAGAUCUGACUUCUUGUUCCCUCCCACAUGUUUAGGAAAACCAAUUUUGCAUUAAAAUAAGUAUCAGAAAUGGAUCAUAGUUAUCUUAGUCCCUGCAGGUUGAUAGACAAGAUGCCAUUGACUGGGUGGCUUAUAAACAAUAGGAAUUUAUCUCAUAGUCUGGAGGCUGUGAAGUCCAAGCUCAAGGAGUCAGCAAACUUGGUGUCUGGUGAGGGCUAACUUUCGGAUUCAUAGAGCUCUGUUUUCUCCCUGUGUCCUCACAUGGCAGAAGGGGCAGGCAGCUCUCCGGGGUCCCUUUUAUAAGGGCACUAAUCCCACUCAUGCAGGCUCCACCCUCAUGACCUAAUCACCUCCCAAAGGCCCUGCUGCCUAAAACCAUCACCUUUGGGGUUAGGAUUUCAAAAUCGCCUAUGAAUUUUGAGGGGGAAAGCAGCAUUCAGUCCAGGUCCGUAACAAUGGUCAAAUCCCAUCUAAAAUUAUUAUAACACAAAGAAUAAGGAGCAGAGUAAUGUCCCCACAAACAGGAAACUACUCCAGGAAGGCACGCCCAGAACAUAGAAACUGGACCCUAAUAAUGCAUCAAUCUGAGAGGAAGGCCAGGUAGGUCAGGAGUUGGUCAUAGCUCACCUGGGUUUAGGGUGUGGGUCUUCAUUAUACUGUUCUAGUCUGCCUUUUGCUGGUUUACUUUUCAAGUAUUUGCCUGAAAUCUUAAUAUUAACAAGGUAUGAAACAGGGAUCAAUGAAACACAUCAUGGUAUAUGGUUCAGUGACAGAUGACAGUGGGAAAUCGCAGUGAAUGGAAGCAAGAAAUAUGGGACAAAGUACUUGAAGGUUCCUGGCCAUUUUUAUUUUAUUCUUUUUUUUUUUGAAAUGGAGUUUGCUCUUUUUGCCCAUGCUGGAGUGCAGUGGCGUGAUCUUGGCUCACUGCAACCUCCGCCUCCUGGGUUCAAGUGAUUCUCCCACCUCAGCCUCCCAAGUAGCUGGGAUUACAGACACCCGGCACAAUGCCUGGCUAAUUUUUGUAUUUUUAGUAGAGAUGGAGGUCUCACCAUGUUGGCCAGGCUGGUCUUGAACUCCUGACCUCAGGUGAUCUGCUCAUCUUGGCCUCCCAAAGUGCUUGGGAUUACAGGUGUGGGCCACUGCACCCAGCCCUCUGUUUUGUUUUUUGUGCCUUUCUCUUCCAUAGUGUCCAUAAUGAUCAUGCAUUAAUUACUUUCAUAGCUUGAAUGGGAAAAUGGGUCACUAUGUAUUUGAGAACAGUACUGGAUGCUUCGUGUUUGGAUGUGUGGGUGGAUCUGCUUCUUUCUUCUAUAUGCUCUGCUGUGUGCUCCCUGACUGCCCUGCUUUUAUUUUACUUCGUUUUACACCCUGCAUAUCUCGAUGUCUGCUUUUUUCCUCAGGUCUGGAGCCCGGCACUGUGGUCAUAACAGAGCAGGCAGUGGAUACCUGCUUCAAGGCAGAGUUUGAGCAGAUUGUCCUGGGGAAGCGGGUCAUCCGGAAAACGGACCUUAACAAGAAGCUGGUGCAGGAGCUGUUGCUGUGUUCUGCAGAGCUGAGCGAGUUCACCACAGUGGUGGGGAACACCAUGUGCACCUUGGACUUCUAUGAAGGGCAAGGCCGUCUGGAUGGGGCUCUCUGCUCCUACACGGAGAAGGACAAGCAGGCGUAUCUGGAGGCAGCCUAUGCAGCCGGCGUCCGCAACAUUGAGAUGGAGUCCUCGGUGUUUGCUGCCAUGUGCAGCGCCUGCGGCCUCCAAGCGGCCGUGGUGUGUGUCACCCUCCUGAACCGCCUGGAAGGGGACCAGAUCAGCAGCCCUCGCAAUGUGCUCAGUGAGUACCAGCAGAGGCCGCAGCGGCUGGUGAGCUACUUCAUCAAGAAGAAACUGAGCAAGGCCUGAGCGCUGCCCUGCACCUCCGCAGACCUGCUGUGAUGACUUGCCAUUAAAAGCAUUGUCC